GAUGAAGAACGUAGCGAAAUGCGAUAAGUAAUGCGAAUUGCAGAAUUCAGUGAGUCAUCGAAUCUUUGAACGCACAUUGCGCCCCGUGGUAUUCCGCGGGGCAUGCCUGUUCGAGCGUCAUUUCAACCCUCAAGCCUGGCUUGGUGUUGGGACUCGCGUUAAUUCGCGUUCCCCAAAUUGAUUGGCGGUCACGUCGAGCUUCCAUAGCGUAGUAGUAAAACCCUCGUUACUGGUAAUCGUCGCGGCCACGCCGUUAAACCCCAACUUCUGAAUGUUGACCUCGGAUCAGGUAGGAAUACCCGCUGAACUUAAGCAUAUCAAUAAGCGGAGGA
rnacentral:misc_RNA from 1 species